rnacentral:rRNA from 1 species
AAAUCCGGUUGAUCCUGCCGGAGGCGACCGCUAUUGGAAUUCGAUUAAGCCAUGCGAGUCGAGAGUCUUAGGGACUCGGCGUACCGCUCAGUAACACGUGGGUAACCUGCCCUGUGCUGGGGAAUAACCUCGGGAAACUGAGAAUAAUGCCCCAUAGUUCACUACGCCUGGAACGGUGGGUGGAUCAAAGCUCCGGCGGCACAGGAUGGGCCUGCGGCGUAUCAGGUUGUAGGGGGUGUAAUGGACCUCCUAGCCAUCGACGCGUACGGGUGUUGGGAGACAUAGCCCGGAGAUGGAUUCUGAGACACGAAUCCAGGCCCUACGGGGCGCAGCAGUUACGAAAACUUGGCAAUGCGGGAAACCGUGACCAGGGAACUCCAAGUGAGUCUCUUUUAGGGGCUCUUUUCUUGACUCUAAAACGGUCUUGGAAUAAGGGGUGGGUAAGGACGGUGCCAGCCGCCGCGGUAAUACCGGCGCCUCAAGUGGUAGUCGCUUUUAUUGGGCCUAAAACGUCCGUAGCCGGUUUGGUACAUUCGUGGGUAAAUCAACUCGCUUAAC